UACGUAGGGUGCGAGCGUUAUCCGGAGUUACUGGGCGUAAAGGGCGUGCAGGUGGUCUGUUAAGUCUGGCGUGAAAGCUCCUGGCUAAACCGGGAGAGGUCGUUGGAUACUGGCGGACUAGAGGACGGUAGAGGCGUGUGGAAUUCCGGGUGUAGUGGUGAAAUGCGUAGAGAUCCGGAGGAACACCAGUGGCGAAGGCGACACGCUGGGCCGUACCUGACACUGAUACACGACAGCAUGGGGAGCGAACGGG
rnacentral:rRNA from 1 species